CGUUGCUUAAUGCAACAUUGCCAAUGCUUCGGUUGUCUGAGAGAAGCGCCUACGGGUGACAACAAUGCCAAUCCGGCAAUCUGAGAGGAACGCCUACGGGUGAUUGCCACUGCCAAUCCUCGGGUCAUCUGAGACGAGGGCCUACGGGCGAUGACAGA
rfam:Proteus mirabilis strain HI4320, complete genome